rnacentral:lncRNA from 1 species
AAAAGAGGAUUCAGGAUUUAAAAUUUAAGGUUUUGUUCUUUCAAGACAUGAACGUUGUACUACUUUUUAAGAUUUGCACACACAUAUCCAUGAUUUAACUAAAUAAUUGUCGAUCUAGUACUGACCUGCCGUCAUAGUAUCCUGGUGACUUGUGGUGUUCACGGUAGACAAAUCCGUGCUGCAACAUGUGAAAUAAUAUAUUAAAGUUAAAAGUUAAUUUUUUUCUAAAUGUAUAAAUAUGUCAGUCUUUUUUUUAGGAACAAAUAGAAGGAAAAAAAAAUGUCGCAUAAAAUUGAAGGAGUAUGCAAAAUUUAGAACAAAUAUUGACCUCAGUCUCGAAUUCCAAGCAAGGAACCCAUCCAUUUUUCAAGAGGUACUCAAUUUCGCUAAGCAAUUGCUCCACGCUCAGAUCAGGAAGGUAUGAGAGAGUCUCGUACUUCUUCUUGUUAAUUGGUGGCCACACCUAUACUCCACCAAAUAGAAUUUUUAGCUGUGACAUCUUAAGAUUCAUUAAUUGUAUCAAAAUUCUUUGCAUUGUGAGUGUAUAUAAGUUACCUGCAUGCAUUGCACUCUUCCGCCGUUGCUGGCAAUGGAAGUGAUGUCAAGGUUUUGCUUCCUUGAAACAGGGAACGAGGCAGCUGACUUAAGACCAGUGAAAGGUGCAACCAUGUUAGCUUGAGCAACAUUGCUGCGGGUGGCAACUGCUGCUGAGGAAAGAACUGAGGAAGCCAUUGUUAAUUACACUUAAGACAGAAAGAUUUCUCUUUCUCUCUUUUCCUUUUUUUUCCUUUAAAC